rnacentral:rRNA from 1 species
UAGGGAAUCUUCGGCAAUGGGGGGAACCCUGACCGAGCAACGCCGCGUGAGUGAAGAAGGUUUUCGGAUCGUAAAGCUCUGUUGUUAAGGAAGAACGAGUGUGAGAAUGGAAAGUUCAUGCUGUGACGGUACUUAACCAGAAAGGGACGGCUAACUACGUGCCAGCAGCCGCGGUAAUACGUAGGUCCCGAGCGUUGUCCGGAUUUAUUGGGCGUAAAGCGAGCGCAGGCGGUUAGAAAAGUCUGAAGUGAAAGGCAGUGGCUCAACCAUUGUAGGCUUUGGACACUGUUUAACUUGAGUGCAGAAGGGGAGAGUGGAAUUCCAUGUGUAGCGGUGAAAUGCGUAGAUAUAUGGAGGAACACCGGUGGCGAAAGCGGCUCUCUGGUCUGUAACUGACGCUGAGGCUCGAAAGCGUGGGGAGCGAACAGG